rnacentral:rRNA from 1 species
AGUGAACGCUGGCGGUAGGCCUAACACAUGCAAGUCGAACGGCAGCACAGUAAGAGCUUGCUCUUACGGGUGGCGAGUGGCGGACGGGUGAGGAAUACAUCGGAAUCUACUUUUUCGUGGGGGAUAACGUAGGGAAACUUACGCUAAUACCGCAUACGACCUACGGGUGAAAGCAGGGGAUCUUCGGACCUUGCGCGAUUGAAUGAGCCGAUGUCGGAUUAGCUAGUUGGCGGGGUAAAGGCCCACCAAGGCGACGAGCCGUAGCUGGUCUGAGAGGAUGAUCAGCCGCCCUGGAGCUGAGACACGGUCCAGAGUCCUACGGGAGGCAGCAGUGGGGAAUGUUAGGCAGUGGGCGCAAGCCUGGUCCAGCCAUACCGCGUGGGUGAAGGAGGCCUUCGGGUUGUAAAGCCCUUUUGUUGGGAGAGAAAAGCAGCCGGUUGAUACCAAGCUGUUCUGACGGUACCCAAAGAAUAAGCACCGGCUAACUUCGUG